rnacentral:rRNA from 1 species
CGUUAACCGGAGGAAGUGGGGAUGACGUCAAGUCAUCAUGGCCCUUACGCCUAGGGCUACACACGUACUACAAUGGUGGGUACAAAGGGCAGCGAAACCGCGAGGUCGAGCGAAAUCUCAAAAAACCCCAUCAUAGUCCGGAUUGCAGUCUGCAACUCGACUGCAUGAAGUUGGAGUCGCUAGUAAUCCCGGAUCAGCAUGCCGGGGUGAAUACGUUCCCGGGCCUU